AUUGAACGCUGGCGGCAGGCUUAACACAUGCAAGUCGAGCGAGCGGCGGACGGGUGAGUAAUGUCUGGGAAACUGCCUGAUGGAGGGGGAUAACUACUGGAAACGGUAGCUAAUACCGCAUACCAUCAGAUGUGCCCAGAUGGGAUUAGCUAGUAGGGGGGGUAAUGGCUCACCUAGGCGACGAUCCCUAGCUGGUCUGAGAGGAUGACCGGCAACAUGGGAACUGAGACACGGUCCAGACUCCUAGGGGAGGCAGCAGUGGGAAAUAUUGCAAAAUGGGCGCAAGCCUGAUGCAGCCAGGCCGGGUGUGUGAAGAAGGCCUGCGGGUUGUAAAGCACUUUCGGCGAGGAGGCGUUACUCGCAGAAGAAGCACCGGCUAACUCGGUGCAAGCAGCCGCGGUAAUU
rnacentral:rRNA from 1 species